rnacentral:lncRNA from 1 species
GACAAAUGUCAGUACGCCUGCUGCAUUCCUCUGGGAUAAGAGAAAUGAAGUCAUUACAUUGGAAAGUGAAUCAUGUGCCCAGGAUACACCCCUCUCACCCUGAACACACUGACUCUCCCAGGUUAAGGUCACAGAUCCGGCAGCUGCAAGAGUUCUGGUAGCCGGGAAAGGGUGAGGCAGAAGUGCCACGUAAAGAACAUCAAGGGUUAUGACAUUCGAGAUGGCAAUGACAGAGAGCCCGGCGUUUCAUCAGGUGUCUUGAUUCAUCUAAAGGAAUUCAGUGCCCCUGCGAACCAGUGUAGCAGCUCCCAGACAAACUGUCAAGAACGGAAUUUAGGGGCCAGCCCAUGGCCGAGUGGUUGGGUUCGCAUGCUCCACUUCAGCGGCCCAGGGUUUCGCAGGUUCAGAUCCUGGGCGCGGACCUGGCCCUGCUCAUCAGGCCACGCUGAGGCAGCGUCCCACAUGCCACAACUAGAAGGACCCACAACUAGAAAUAUAUACAACUAUGUACCGGGGGGCUUUGGGGAGAAGAAGGAAAAAUAAAAUCUUGAAGAAAAAAAAAAAUGAAGUUAAUUGGAAGUGCCAUUUUCCAAGAUGCUUGCUUAUUCUUUUAUAAAGGAAAGGGC